UACGUAGGGGGCUAGCGUUGUCCGGAAUCAUUGGGCGUAAAGCGCGUGUAGGCGGUCCGGUAAGUCCGCUGUGAAAGUCGGGGGCUCAACCCUCGGAUGCCGGUGGAUACUGUCGGGCUUGAGUACGGAAGAGGCGAGUGGAAUUCCUGGUGUAGCGGUGGAAUGCGCAGAUAUCAGGAGGAACACCGAUAGCGAAGGCAGCUCGCUGGGACGGUACUGACGCUGAGGUGCGAAAGCGUGGGGAGCAAACGGG
rnacentral:rRNA from 1 species